UAACACAUGCAAGUCGAGCGGUAACAGAGAGAAGCUUGCUUCUCUGCUGACGAGCGGCGGACGGGUGAGUAAGACUUGGGAAUUUGCCUUUAGGCGGGGGACAACCACGGGAAACUGUGGCUAAUACCGCAUAAUGUCUACGGACCAAAGUGGGGGACCUUCGGGCCUCACACCUAAAGAUGAGCCCAAGCGGGAUUAGCUAGUUGGUGGGGUAAAGGCUCACCAAGGCGACGAUCCCUAGCUGUUCUGAGAGGAUGAUCAGCCACACUGGGACUGAGACACGGCCCAGACUCCUACCGAGGCAGCAGUGGGGAAAACGUCACAAGGGGGGAAUCGCCCGCCGCGCCCCGC
rnacentral:rRNA from 1 species